GCCUUCAUGGUGCAGUGGUUAGCACACCUGGCAUGCAUUCGAGAGGCCUGUGGUUCGAGUCCCGGCGAGGGCA
rnacentral:tRNA from 1 species